rnacentral:pre_miRNA from 1 species
AAAUUACUCCUUCCGUUCUGAAUUACUUGUCACAGAUAUGGAUGUAUCUAGAUGUAUUUUAGUUCUAGAUACAUUUAUUUCUACGAUGAGUAAUUUGGAAUGGAGGGAGUACAAU